GAUCAAACUUGAUCAUCUAGAGGAAGUAAAAGUCGUAGCAAGGUUUCCGUAGGUGAACCUGCGGAAGGAUCAUUA
rnacentral:rRNA from 1 species